UAUUUACAAAUAGAGCAGGCGAUGCACUCUUUGAGUGUGUGGGGCUGGGCUGGCAAGCGAGCUGGCAGCAGGAAAAAAUACCUGUGGGACUAUA
rnacentral:ncRNA from 2 species